rnacentral:rRNA from 1 species
AAUUGGCGAUCAGAACACAUAUGGGUAGAACUUCUAAAAGGUUCUUGAAAAAGGGGUAAUUGUUUCUGGGCCUGUAUUCUUUUUCUAGGUUCACUAGGA